CUAAAACAGGAAGCUAAGUGUCCUAGAAUCAAAAGCAGUCUUCUCUUCACCGGUGACCAGGUCCAAAAGAUAUCACUGGGACGCAUAAAGGACUUUCCCACAGUAUCAGGCACUAUCUGUAAAAAAAAAAAUCUGAUUUCCAGGAAAUAGAUAAAGGGCUGAGGAUUGCCCUCUGUUAAUUUACCAAUGGGAAGGACCACACUCGCAAACAAGCAACCGGACGCUUGGCUUCCUGAAUUCAGGGCUGUGUCCCUGACAACAGGUGACUUGCAGGGACAAAAGGUCUAUACUACAAAAUUUGGGCCAUGCAAUAGCUGUCCUGAGAAAAAUACAGAACAACCAAAGUUUCCUGCCUCACCUACGCCAACACAGAAAAUAGGUCCCAGGUAUGGUGCCAACCAGCAUGAUGCGAUGGAGAAAGCACCAGGUUUCGAGCCAAGAGACCUCCAUCUGAGUACCAGCUCUCUGCCAUUUUCUCCCCUUGUGACCUUGAAGGAGGAAUCAUUGCACAUCUCUGGGUUUCAGUUUCCUUACCUAUAAAAUGACGACAUGGUCCUAGACGAUCUCCAAGCACCUUUUCUAGCUCUAAGCCCUAUGACCCAAUUGAUUAAUAUGUAGUUUUGGAUUACCUAAGUGCCCAGGACUGUGCUUUGGGCUAUAUGAAUCACAAGGGAAGUAUAAGACCCAAUUACUGCCUUCAAGGAACAUGAAGAGGCACCAUGGAGUAGAAUGGUGGAUUCAGAAAGAAGAGGACCUGCAUUCAAAUCUCCCCUCUGAUAUUUAUGAGCCACAUGAAAGGGGCAAGUCAUCACUUCUUUGAAACGCACUUUCUUCAUCUGUAAAAAGAUAAUUUAAAACACCUGUAGCCCCUACCUCACAGGAUUGUUCUCUAUGACAGUGUAAAGGCUGUGUAUGUAUUUGGUGCUAUCCUAGAUGACACCUAAGGUGUUAUGUUAGCCACUCACACCAACUUGUGCUCUGCCUUCCUUAAGCCCACAGGAAGACAUGGUGUUACUUUAUUGUUUUUUAUUUUUUAUUCAUUUUAAACGGAAAUACAAAACAAGAAAAGAAAAAAACCCACAUACACAGCAGACCACGAGAGGAUUCAAUAUAAAACAAUAAAUUUCUAUUUCGAAUAUUUACUUUUUUUCUU
rnacentral:lncRNA from 1 species